ACGCUGGCGGCGUGCCUAACACAUGCAAGUCGAACGAGGUCCAGGGAAGCUUGCUUCCUGAAGACCUAGUGGCGAACGGGUGAGUAACACGUGAGAAACCUGCCUCGGAGUGGGGAAUAACUCGGGGAAACUCGAGCUAAUACCGCAUACCUUCACAUGAUCGCAUGGUCGAGUGAAGAAAGAAUUUCGCUCUGAGAGGGUCUCGCGGCCUAUCAGCUUGUUGGUGGGUAACGGCCUACCAAGGCAACGACGGGUAGCUGGUUUGAGAGAACGAUCAGCCACACUGGGACUGAGACACGGCCCAGACUCCUACGGGAGGCAGCAGUGGGAAUCUUGCGCAAUGGGCGAAAGCCUGACGCAGCAACGCCGCGUGCGGGAUGACGGCCUUCGUGGUUGUAAACCGCUUUCAGCAGGGACGAAAAUGACGGUACCUGCAGAAGAAGCCCCGGCUAACUACGUG
rnacentral:rRNA from 1 species